UACGGGAGGCAGCAGUGGGGAAUAUUGCACAAUGGGCGCAAGCCUGAUGCAGCAACGCCGUGUGAGUGAAGAAGGUUUUCGGAUCGUAAAACUCUGUCCUAAGGGAAGAAACAAAUGACGGUACCUUAGGAGGAAGCCCCGGCUAACUACGUGCCAGCAGCCGCGGUAAUACGUAGGGGGCAAGCGUUAUCCGGAAUCACUGGGCGUAAAGGGUGCGUAGGCGGCUUAGCAAGCCAGGGGUGAAAGGCAUUGGCUCAACCAAUGUAAGCCUUUGGAACUGUUAAGCUUGAGUGCAGGAGAGGUAAGUGGAAUUCCUAGUGUAGAGGUGAAAUUCGUAGAUAUUAGGAGGAACACCAGUGGCGAAGGCGACUUACUGGACUGUAACUGACGCUGAUGCACGAAAGCGUGGGUAGCGAACAGGAUUAGAUACCCUGGUAA
rnacentral:rRNA from 1 species